rnacentral:tRNA from 1 species
CAACGGCCUUCUAAGCCGUGGGCCGGGGGUUCGAAUCCCUCCUGGGACA